CCUACGGGUGGCAGCAGUGAGGAAUAUUGGUCAAUGGACGAGAGUCUGAUCCAGCCAAGUCGCGUGAAGGAUGACUGCCCUAUGGGUUGUAAACUUCUUUUAUAUGGGAAUAAAAUGUUCCACGUGUGGGAUUUUGUAUGUAUAAUAUGAAUAAGGAUCGGCUAACUCCGUGCCAGCAGCCGGGGUAAUACGGAGGAACCGAGCGUUAUCCGGAUUUAUUGGGGUGAAAGGGUGCGUUGGCGGAUUGUUAAGUCAGUUGUGAAAAUUUGCGGGUCAACCGUCAGAUUGCAGGUGAAACUGGCAUUCUUGAGUACAGGAGAGGUAGGCGGAAUGCGUGGUGUAGCGGUGAAAUGCUUAGAUAUCACGCAGAACUCCGAUUGCGAAGGCAGUUCACUGGACUGCAACUGACACUGAGGCUCGAAAGUGUGGGUAUCAAACAGGAUUAGAUACCCGAGUAGUC
rnacentral:rRNA from 1 species